rfam:Felis catus isolate Cinnamon breed Abyssinian chromosome X, whole genome shotgun sequence.
GCCUGGGUAGCUCAGUCGGUUGAGCGUCUGACUUUGGCUCAGGUCAUGAUCUUGCGGUCCAUGGGUUCGAGCCCCGCAUCGGGCU